rnacentral:rRNA from 1 species
CCCUUAGAUGUUCUGGGCCGCACGCGUGCUACACUGAGUGGAUCAGCGGGUCAGGUUGCGCGAAAGCGUUUCCUAAUCUUUAAAUCCGCUCGUGAUGGGGAUUGACGGUUGCAAUUUUCUGUCAUGAACGAGGAAUACCUUGUAAGCGCGGGUCAUCAUCCCGCGCUGAAUACGUCCCUGCCCUUUGUACACACCGCCCGUCGCUCCUACCGAUUGAGUGGUCCGGUGAAUACUUCGGACUGCAACCGGUGCGGUUUCCGUACCCUUUGCAAAAAGUUGAAUAAACCUUAUCACUUAGAGGAAGGAGAAGUCGUAACA